AUUGAACGCUGGCGGCAUGCCUUACACAUGCAAGUCGAACGGUAACAGGUCUUCGGAUGCUGACGAGUGGCGAACGGGUGAGUAAUGCAUCGGAACGUGCCCAGUAGUGGGGGAUAGCCCGGCGAAAGCCGGAUUAAUACCGCAUACGACCUGAGGGUGAAAGGGGGGGAUCGCAAGACCUCUCGCUAUUGGAGCGGCCGAUGUCAGGUUAGCUAGUUGGUGGGGUAAAGGCCUACCAAGGCAACGAUCUGUAGUUGGUCUGAGAGGACGACCAGCCACAGUGGGACUGAGACACGGCCCAGACUCCUACGGGAGGCAGCAGUGGGGAAUCUUGGACAAUGGGCGCAAGCCUGAUCCAGCAAUGCCGCGUGCAGGAAGAAGGCCUUCGGGUUGUAAACUGCUUUUGUCAGGGAAGAAAUCUUCUGGGUUAAUACCUCGGGAGGAUGACGGUACCUGAAGAAUAAGCACCGGCUAACUACGUGCCAGCCGCCGCCGUAA
rnacentral:rRNA from 1 species